ensembl:lncRNA
GCUGUUCUUUCCAUCAUGGGAAAAUUUUCAGGUAGCCAACUGUUUUGAAAUAAAAUUCCCUGCAGUUGCUAUAGUGAUGAUAAUAAAGUUCCUGCCUCAAUUUACGUGAUAGAGGUUCCUAGCAGAACACUUGAAAAGGCAUCUAGAGGACUUCCAGAUUCUGAAGUUUCCUGCAACUGAAGUUCUGAGCAGCUCUGUUUCUCCUCAGAAGAUCUGUCUGUGUGCAUAUGUCAGCCCAGAAAGAUUGUGGCCCCUCUGUCAGCCCAGGUGUUCUGCUUUGAAAAUAGUUGUUCACAAAAGUACAUACUGCCAGAAAGAGAUGACACAGAUAAGGUGUGAUGGUGAAGCGAGGGAUAUUUUUCUCAGACUCCUCCCACUCUUCAUAAAGCAUAAGGAAAUGGAAAUGCCUUAGGAGCAAUGUGAAGUUCCAGAAAGACAGUUUUAGCAGAAAAGACCUGAACACAAGAGAUUUGAAUACAAAGAAAUCCCAUCUAAUGCAGUGGUGGAGGAAGUGAAGAAAGCAUUUUGGUCCAAUUGAAAGCAGUGAAGAAAUUCUGAUUUAUCUUGUCAAAUGCAUAAACAAAUAAAAUAAACAUUCUUCUCAUGAACCUGACUCCAUCCAGACUUUAGGCAAGACACCUCACAUUCCUAAACUUCAGUACAAAGGAUGAGAAUUUUUAAAUCUCUCUGUUUAACAAUGAAAUUAUCCUCAUCUGCAAGAACACAAAGCUCUCUUUAUCACAAAAUUUUCAAGAAAUAUUUGCAGAACAUACUGUCUAAGCUGUCCCGUGUGAAAAGAAAGAACUAAUUUGUAGGCAAGAUGGAAGAAAAUACAUCGCCAAAGUUUUAUCCUAAUCUUGUAUCCUUAAUGUUGUUUACACUGAUAUUACCUCUGAUGUUAUAGAUGUUAGAUAGAUACAUAGAAUUGUAGAAUGGUUUGGGUUGGAAGAAACCUCUAAGAUCAUCUAGUUCCAACCUCUCUGCUAUAGGCAGGGACACCUCCCACUAGACCAUGUUGCUCAAAGCCCCACCAAGCCUGGUCUUGAAUGCAUCCUUGGAGAAGGUAUCCACAACCUCACUGGGCAACCUGUUCUAGUAUGCCACCACCCUCACAGUAAAUAAUUUCUUCCAAUAUCUAUCUGGUUAGCAUCACUUCCCU